rnacentral:lncRNA from 1 species
AUGUUCCUUUAUGAUUUGUUACUGUUACGGCUGGUGCCUUAUUGUGUUUACUGUGUUGGUGGAGGAGUGAGAGCUCUUCCACAAUGUAAUAUCUAUCCAAAUGAGCAGGACAGCAGGGAGUGGCCAUCACCAAGGAUGCUGAUUGGGUCUCCCCAGGGUGUGGCCCUACAUAAGGACUGUCUACCCCAGAAGCUGGUGGAGAGCAGUAGUGGCUGUGUGACUCUCCCUUGCUUGCUGGCCACCAAGAGUGUAUCUGGCUGUGGGAAGUGUGUGUGUGUAUUCAGUGUCCCUGGUUUACCCAGCGUUUUGAGUUAUUUCCUUGUAUUCAGUGUUCCUGGUUUACCCAGCGUUUUGAGUUAUUUCCUUGUAUUCUCAGUGUUCCUGGUUUAACCAGCGUUUUGAGUUUGAACUGUACCUGGAAUUAUUGUUUAUAUUUUGUAAAGAAGCUGUAGGGGUGAGCUGCCAUUUCAUUUUUUUUUUCUAGUGUUUUUGUGUAUAGGCUUAAUAUAGGAGUUUAUUUAUUAUUUUGGCCUUGGUUCACCCUGACGUUUAUGCUUCUGUUUUUGUGUUUAAUUGUUGGGCAAUAAAUGACCUUUGCCUUAUUCA